rfam:Faecalibacterium prausnitzii A2-165 genomic scaffold Scfld2, whole genome shotgun sequence.
AUAAUGAUACUUCCGUAAUUCGCGGCCCGGUCAUAAAGAAGACGGGGUGGCCGAGAGGCCAAUGG